GCUACUUACAAAUGGCAAUGUGCAAUUACAGGACGUGAAAUGAAUCCAGGGGAGCCACUUGAAGAUGCUGAGUCAGAGAUCGAUGGAGCGACAGGCCUGCGCGUGUGUGACGGAGGGAGAUCACGAAGUGAGGCUGAGAAAAGAUGAUGAGCGGGUCCCAGGUGCGCCGCAGAGUUUCGUCCAGGAUUGUUUUUCAGCAGUCGGGGCAGACGGCGCAAAGGGCAGACAUCGACCAGCGCUGCUGCUCCCCUCCUCCAGAUCCACUCGUGGGACUUCACGUCGCUGACUCGAUGUGCAGGUACGAUAACAGAGACCAGGUGAAAUUCCCCAGACUCGGACGCGAGCUCAGUGUCGUGUAGGACACGCAACACGAUGAGUUCUGCUGCUCGCGGCUUCUGAAGGCGCGGUCGUUGCAGAAAACAUGACGUUUAAUCUAAAAGGUAGCAGCUGUGCACACAAUAGGAAAAACCCGACUUGAGGAAACGUUAUAUAUUUCUUGCCGUCUUAGCAUUUACGGCGCCGGUGCGCUUUCUGUUCGCCAGAGACAUUGUGUCUUUUUUUAUUGCCAUUGCUCU